UACGUAGGGUGCAAGCGUUGUCCGGAAUUAUUGGGCGUAAAGAGCUCGUAGGCGGCUUGUUGCGUCGGCUGUGAAAUCCCGAGGCUCAACCUCGGGUCUGCAGUCGAUACGAGCAAACUAGAGUGUUGCAGGGGAGACUGGAAUUCCUGGUGUAGCGGUGAAAUGCGCAGAUAUCAGGAGGAACACCAAUAGCGAAGGCAGCUCGCUGGGACGUUACUGACACUGAGGCGCGAAAGCGUGGGGAGCGAACAGG
rnacentral:rRNA from 1 species